rnacentral:rRNA from 1 species
CCUACGUGCGGCAGCAGUGGGGAAUAUUGGACAAUGGGCGAAAGCCUGAUCCAGCCAUGCCGCGUGUGUGAAGAAGGCCUUCGGGUUGUAAAGCACUUUCAGUGGGGAAGAAAGCCUUGGGGCUAAUACCCUCGAGGAAGGACAUCACCCACAGAAGAAGCACCGGCUAACUCCGUGCCAGCAGCCGCGGUAAUACGGAGGGUGCGAGCGUUAAUCGGAAUUACUGGGCGUAAAGCGCGCGUAGGCGGUCUGAUAAGCCGGUUGUGAAAGCCCCGGGCUCAACCUGGGAACGGCAUCCGGAACUGUCAGGCUAGAGGGCAGGAGAGGAAGGUAGAAUUCCCGGUGUAGCGGUGAAAUGCGUAGAGAUCGGGAGGAAUACCAGUGGCGAAGGCGGCCUUCUGGACUGACACUGACGCUGAGGUGCGAAAGCGUGGGUAGCAAACAGGAUUAGAUACCCUAGUGUC